rnacentral:rRNA from 1 species
UGGGGAAUCUUGCGCAAUGGCCGAAAGGCUGACGCAGCGACGCCGCGUGUGGGAGGACGCCCUUCGGGGUGUAAACCACUGUUGCCCGGGACGAACCGGGGGUUUCGACCCCCCUGACGGUACCGGGUGAGGAAGCACCGGCUAACUCCGUGCCAGCAGCCGCGGUAAUACGGAGGGUGCGAGCGUUGUCCGGAAUCACUGGGCGUAAAGGGCGCGUAGGCGGCGGGGCAAGCGUGUGGUGAAAGCUCGGGGCUCAACCCCGGGUCGGCCAUGCGAACUGCCCGGCUCGAGCACUGUAGAGGCAGAUGGAAUUCCGGGUGUAGCGGUGGAAUGCGUAGAGAUCCGGAAGAACACCGGUGGCGAAGGCGGUCUGCUGGGCAGUUGCUGACGCUGAGGCGCGACAGCGUGGGGAGCAAACAGG